rnacentral:rRNA from 1 species
UACAGAGGGUGCAAGCGUUAAUCGGAAUUACUGGGCGUAAAGCGCGCGUAGGUGGUUUGUUAAGUUGAAUGUGAAAUCCCCGGGCUCAACCUGGGAACUGCAUCCAAAACUGGCAAGCUAGAGUAGGGCAGAGGGUGGUGGAAUUUCCUGUGUAGCGGUGAAAUGCGUAGAUAUAGGAAGGAACACCAGUGGCGAAGGCGACCACCUGGGCUCAUACUGACACUGAGGUGCGAAAGCGUGGGGAGCAAAC